UUGUCAAAGCCAUGGAGGAUCAGUCAAAACAAAGGAACAGCUGCGUUCAAAUUAAGGGUCAGAGAAAAUUAAGUCUUCGUUAGUUUGGUUCUGUCCUUUCUGAAAGAAAGAAACCCAGGAAACAUUAACUAGUUGGGAUUUCAACAGCACAUCCGUCCAGUCCGUGAGGUUCCGCCAUUUGGUAUUCUUCUGGGGAAUUCUUACUGAGACCAAAGCGGGCUCCCUGCUGGCCGGUGAGUCAGCCUCUCCACCGGAAGCAGUCGUCUCGCAAAGCAGCGAUAUUGCAGCUAACGGGAGGCGUGGGGAAUCACGUCCAGAGUCAUGGGUCCCUGAACAAAGGGAAGCAGGGACAUUUCCUUCACAUUAGGAAGGAAUAUUCCAACGGGAGAGGCGGGAACCCUCCCGCGCAGGCUCAGGGGAAACAAGCUUCCACCCUGCAGGCGGCGGAGCCCAGGCCCGAACCUCCUCCCGGAGGAGCUCGGCAUCCACAAGGCAAAGGCACAGGGGAGCCCUCUGCGGAGGCCUGGCCUGGCCCGGCGGCUCUGCAGGAGAAGACAGCCCGCAGUCCCCGCCCCGCAGGCGCCCUGACCUCCCGCGGCCGUCGCCCCGCGGCCCGGCCUCGCUGCGCCGCCCCCCUCAGCCUCCCGGGCCCCCGCCCUCCCGAGUCCCGCAGGCCGCCUCCCGGGGGCGGCAGGGCCUCCGGCGGAGCGCAGGCCGGCCCCAGGGUCUCCGUGCCGGGCUCAGGCAGCCGGGGCCGCGGUGCGCCCCGCGCCUCCACCGCCCCGCCAGGACCGCGCUGCGUCCGCACGAGCCCGUCGCGCAGAGCGUCCCCGGAGGGACUGAGCGACGAGGUGCAGGAAGCAGCUCGGCGCAGGCGGCCCCCGCCUUCCUCUCCGGCCGGCGACACACGCCCGCAGGGGCCGCAGCCGCGAGCGGAGGCCGCCGCGCUGGCUCUCGCUUCGGGCCCGUCGCUUAGGCGCUCAGCGCCUCGGCUUCCCCGUCUGUGACAGGCGGCCACAGCGCCGCCCGGGGCUGGGAGCUAACUGAGCUGCUCGCCAGGAGGCGCACGCCCCGCGCCGCCGCCGGGGGAGCGGCCGAGACGCCGCGGCUGGGACCCCGCGGUGUCCGCGGUCGCCGGCCAGCGGUCAGCACGCAGUGUCUGUGCAGCCUCUGGGCGAAGCCCCGGCCGUGCAGCCCGGCUGUCCGGGCGCCGCCGUGAG
rnacentral:lncRNA from 1 species